UCUUUGAGUAUAUGAAUCAUCAUAACUCUAAGCGGUGGAUCACUCGGCUCGUGUGUCGAUGAAGAGCGCAGCCAGCUGCGUGAAGUAAUGUGAAUUGCAGGACACAUUGAACAUCGAUAUCUUGAACGCAUAUUGCGGCCUCGGGCAUUCUCGAGGCCACGCCUGUCUCAGGGUCGGUUGAAUGUAUCUAUCGAGAGUCGUCUCAA
rnacentral:rRNA from 1 species